UACGUAGGGUGCAAGUGUUAAUCGGAAUUACUGGGCGUAAAGCGUGCGCAGGCGGUUUUGUAAGUCUGACGUGAAAUCCCCGGGCUCAACCUGGGAAUUGCGUUGGAGACUGCAAGGCUAGAAUCUGGCAGAGGGGGGUAGAAUUCCACGUGUAGCAGUGAAAUGCGUAGAGAUGUGGAGGAAUACCGAUGGCGAAGGCAGCCCCCUGGGUCAAGAUUGACGCUCAUGCACGAAAGCGUGGGGAGCAAACAGG
rnacentral:rRNA from 1 species